GCGGGUAGUUAAGUCAGAAGUGAAAUCCAAUAGCUCAACUAUUGAACUGCUUUUGAAACUGAUUACCUAGAAUAUGGGAGAGGUAGAUAGAAUUUCUGGUGUAGGGGUAAAAUCCGUAGAGAUCAGAAGGAAUACCGAUUGCGAAGGCGAUCUACUGGAACAUUAUUGACGCUGAGACGCGAAAGCGUGGGGAGCAAACAGGAUUAGAUACCCUGGUAGUCCACGCCCUAAACGAUGUACACUAGUUGUUGUGAGGCUCGACCUUGCAGUAAUGCAGUUAACACAUUAAGUGUACCGCCUGGGGAGUACGGUCGCAAGAUUAAAACUCAAAGGAAUAGACGGGGACCCGCACAAGCGGUGGAGCAUGUGGUUUAAUUCGACGAUACACGAAGAACCUUACCUGGACUUGACAUAGUAAGAACUUUCUAGAGAUAGAUUGGUGUCUGCUUGCAGAAACUUAUAUACAGGUGCUGCACGGCUGUCGUCAGCUCGUGUCGUGAGAUGUUGGGUUAAGUCCCGCAACGAGCGCAACCCUCGUCAUUAGUUGCUAACAGUUCGGCUGAGAACUCUAAUGAGACUGCCUACGCAAGUAGGAGGAAGGUGAGGACGACGUCAAGUCAUCAUGGCCCUUACGUCCAGGGCUACACACGUGCUACAAUGGGGUAUACAAAGAGCCGCAAUACGGUGACGUGGAGCAAAUCUCAAAAAUAUCUCCCAGUUCGGAUUGUAGUCUGCAACUCGACUACAUGAAGUUG
rnacentral:rRNA from 1 species